rnacentral:lncRNA from 1 species
UCGGAUGAGGCGUUGGGUGAAGAGGGGGUGUGAGUUCUGAGGAUGACUUGGAUUAGAUCUCUUGCGAGAGAUUUUUUUUAUGUUUUUAUGUUUCGGCCUUGAAUGGCCUUGUUUUCUAUUUCAGGACUGGCCGUGUGUGGCUUUGAGUCCCUGCCGCUCUGCGGCUAUUUUUUAUGAUAAGAUAAUCAAAUGGUACUUUUAUGAGUUUGUGUAUAGUGGGGAGGAAGGUGAUGAGUUGUCGUCUCAUAUCCUUCUUCGAUUGUGAGAUGUUU